GUAGGUGAACCUGCGGAAGGAUCAUUAACGAACGUCGCGGGGGAUGGGGUUGUAGCUGGCCUUUUGGGGCAACGUGCACGCCCCGUCCUUCUCUACAUAUCAUCUCUUCACACCCUGUGCACCCAUGGGCGUGGGCGCGUCGCCUUUUUCGGUGGCGGGCUUGCGCUUUUUUCAUCACACAAACCCCCUUUGCAUGUCCAUAGAAUGUUUUUGAAUGCGAAAAGCGCAUCUUUGUACAACUUUCAACAACGGAUCUCUUGGCUCUC
rnacentral:misc_RNA from 1 species